ACUUUUAGAGGAUGACAGUCUAAUCCAUUGGUCUUAGGAACCAAAAACCUUGGUGCAUCUCCAAGUAAAAGUA
rnacentral:tRNA from 1 species